ACAAUCCAGGAACAUUCACAGUGACAAUGUGAGAAACCUUACAAUGCACCUGUUCGUGUUGUACUUGCACUGCAUUUGAGAGACUACUUUCUCCAAAGUAUGUUAAAACUGGUACUUUCCACAGUAUUACAUUCAGUUUAACAGAGUUUACUUAACUUAAUAAAGCCAGUGUUCACUAAUUUAAGAUGUAGCACAAAUAAAAUGUACAGAUAAAGUCAAUUCUAAUAUUUAUCAUAGCAAUUUUAAUGAUACAAUAAAAAGCUACUGAAGCUUUCAUAUUUUUAUUUUAUUGGGGUUUUAUAUAUAGAUAUAAAACCUGCAAAGCACUUUAAAAGAAUAUC